AUUGAACGCUGGCGGCAUGCCUUACACAUGCAAGUCGAACGGUAACAGGUUAAGCUGACGAGUGGCGAACGGGUGAGUAAUAUAUCGGAACGUGCCCAGUUGUGGGGAUAACUACUCGAAAGAGUGGCUAAUACCGCAUGAGACCUGAGGGUGAAAGCGGGGGAUCGCAAGACCUCGCGCAAUUGGAGCGGCCGAUAUCAGAUUAGCUAGUUGGUGGGGUAAAAGCCCACCAAGGCAACGAUCUGUAGCUGGUCUGAGGAGGACGACCAGCCACACUGGGACUGAGACACGGCCCAGACUCCUACGGGAGGCAGCAGUGGGGUAAUUUUGGACAAUGGACGCAAGUCUGAUCCAGCCAUGCCGCGUGCGGGAUGAA
rnacentral:rRNA from 1 species